rnacentral:rRNA from 1 species
AGUGAACGCUGGCGGCGUGCCUAAUACAUGCAAGUCGAACGGAGUGGCGCACGGGUGAGUAAUGUAUAGCUAAUCUGCCCUACACUAGAGGACAACAGUUGGAAACGGCUGCUAAUACUCUAUAGUGUCGGAGGAGGCUCUAUUGUAUCAGUUAGUUGGUGAGGUAAUGGCUCUCCAAGGCUAUGACGCAUAACUGGUCUGAGAGGAUGAUCAGUCACACUGGAAGUGAGACACGAUCCGGACACCUACGAGAGGGAGCAGUAGGGAGUAUUGCUCAAUGGGGGAAACCCUGAAGCGGCAACGCGGCGUGGAAGAUGACACUUUUCGGAGCGUAAACUCCUUUUGUUAGGGAAACGGUACCUAACGAAUAAGCACCGGCUAACUCCGUGCCAGCCGCCGCGGUAAUUC